rnacentral:rRNA from 1 species
AUACGGAGGGUGCAAGCGUUAAUCGGAAUUACUGGGCGUAAAGGGUUCGUAGGCGGUUAUUUAAGUCAGAUGUGAAAGCCCCGGGCUCAACCUGGGAAUUGCAUCUGAUACUGGGUAACUAGAGUUUAAGAGAGGAGUGUGGAAUUUCCGGUGUAGCGGUGAAAUGCAUAGAGAUCGGAAGGAACAUCAGUGGCGAAGGCGGCACUCUGGCUUAAAACUGACGCUGAGGAACGAAAGCGUGGGUAGCAAACAGGAUUAGAAACCCCGGUAGUCC